rnacentral:misc_RNA from 1 species
AUCUCAUCCUUUGAGGCACUUCAUUCCCAACUAUACAUAAUUUAACAAUCUGUACCAUGAAAAUUAUAAAUUAUUUUAUAUAAAAAAAAAAUCCACAUUUAUAGUGAUGAUCCUUGUAAUACAUGAGGAAGGAAGCAUACCUUGUGUUGCAACAGAUGCUUUUCAAAUACAUCCUCCGUUACUUUCUCACAUACAUCCUUAUCCAAGUUGAUGCAAUUAUGAAAGUCAAGAUACGUUUCUUCGUUUUCGUAUAAGACGUCUUCAUCUUUAUCUUCUAAGCAUGGAAGCUCUGGUAAAUAUUUAAGUCUCUUGCAAUCAUUUA